rnacentral:rRNA from 1 species
UGAAGGCUGCAGUUUGAUCUGGGCUAGGACGACGAACCGGGGAUUGUUUGGGCAUGGUGGGGAACGGGUGAGUAGGAAAAGUUUAACCUGCCCUUGACUCUGGGAUAAGCCUGGGAAACCGGGUCUAAUACCGGAUAUGACUUCCUGCCGCAUGGUGGGGGGUGGAAAGAUUUUUUGGUUUUGGAUGGACUCGCGGCCUAUCAGCUUGUUGGUGGGGUAAUGGCCUACCAAGGCGACGACGGGUAGCCGGCCUGAGAGGGUGACCGGCCACACUGGGACUGAGACACGGCCCAGACUCCUACGGGAGGCAGCAGUGGGGAAUAUUGCACAAUGGGCGCAAGCCUGAUGCAGCGACGCCGCGUGAGGGAUGACGGCCUUCGGGUUGUAAACCUCUUUCAGCAGGGAAGAAGCGGAAGUGACGGUACCUGCAGAAGAAGCGCCGGGCUAACUACGUGCCAGCAGCCGCGGUAAUACGUAGGGCGCAAGCGUUGUCCGGAAUUAUUGGGCGUAAAGAGCUCGUAGGCGGUUUGUCGCGUCUGCUGUGAAAGCCCGGGGCUCAACCCCGGGUCUGCAGUGGGUACGGGCAGACUGGAGUGCAGUAGGGGAGACUGGAAUUCCUGGUGUAGCGGUGAAAUGCGCAGAUAUCAGGAGGAACACCGAUGGCGAAGGCAGGUCUCUGGGCUGUAACUGACGCUGAGGAGCGAAAGCAUGGGGAGCGAACAGGAUUAGAUACCCUGGUAGUCCAUGCCGUAAACGUUGGGCACUAGGUGUGGGGGACAUUCCACGUUUUCCGCGCCGUAGCUAACGCAUUAAGUGCCCCGCCUGGGGAGUACGGCCGCAAGGCUAAAACUCAAAGGAAUUGACGGGGGCCCGCACAAGCGGCGGAGCAUGCGGAUUAAUUCGAUGCAACGCGAAGAACCUUACCAAGGCUUGACAUGGGCCGGAUCGCCGCAGAAAUGCGGUUUCCCUUCGGGGCCGGUUCACAGGUGGUGCAUGGUUGUCGUCAGCUCGUGUCGUGAGAUGUUGGGUUAAGUCCCGCAACGAGCGCAACCCUCGUUCUAUGUUGCCAGCGGUUCGGCCGGGGACUCAUAGGAGACUGCCGGGGUCAACUCGGAGGAAGGUGGGGACGACGUCAAAUCAUCAUGCCCCUUAUGUCUUGGGCUUCACGCAUGCUACAAUGGCCGGUACAAAGGGUUGCGAUACUGUGAGGUGGAGCUAAUCCCAAAAAGCCGGUCUCAGUUCGGAUUGAGGUCUGCAACUCGACCUCAUGAAGUCGGAGUCGCUAGUAAUCGCAGAUCAGCAACGCUGCGGUGAAUACGUUCCCGGGCCUUGUACACUUCG